rnacentral:rRNA from 1 species
AUACGGAGGGUGCGAGCGUUAAUCGGAAUUACUGGGCGUAAAGCGUACGUAGGCGGUUGGUUAAGUUAGAUGUGAAAGCCCCGGGCUUAACCUGGGAACUGCAUUUAAAACUGGCGAACUCGAGUUGAGUAGAGGGGAGUGGAAUUUCAGGUGUAGCGGAGAAAUGCGUAGAGAUCUGAAGGAACAACAGUGGCGAAGGCGACUCCCUGGACUCGAACUGACGCUGAGGUACGAAAGCGUGGGUAGCAAACGGGAUUAGAAACCCUAGUAGUCC